UCAAUACCUAAUAUGAUACCGAAUAAAUAAAAGGCAGUCAGAGCGGCCAGUGGAUGGGGUUAUUAAGCAGCCGGAGCUCUCGCGGUGCAUAUCAAUGCACCUGUCAUUGCGCCUUGUAACAAAAUUUAUGACCGCUAGUACGACGGGCAGUAAACGCUUCAGUAAGGAAUGAAAAGGAAAACACUUCCCAAGCCCUCUCGCACUUUUCAGAAGUGUAAAACAGCCUCCGCGUAGGAGGGAGACCAGCAAAAGAAUUCGCGACGCCGCACUUUUCCCAGCUUGGCUAACAGGAAGGGGAGAUCUAUAUAAGGUGGUCCGCUCCGUCCCCCUUAGCUCUCCUCCGCCAGGACUCAGACCGCAUCCUCCUAGGGCCCAGGGGCUGUUGUUGAGCCUUUAUUUCUCUCCAAGAAGGAAGAGCACCUUUUUUUCUACAGGGCACUUUGAAGCGGAAAAAGUUCAGGGCACCUAAUGGAUACUACUCUACCUCUGCACCACACCCCACCCAGAGGAACUUCAAGACACGGACUCUUAUUUGUGGUGCAGUUGAAAGGGGCCUGGGAUGUAGAGGAGGGGGGAGACAAUCGAUGGAAUUUGACAAGAGCCGCCAUUGUCUGUAAUGUAGGAAUCCUGGUGCAACAUCCCUGAGUUGCAGGGGUCUUCAGGUUUCUCUUGAUAAUCCGCGGAGGAGGAUCUGGAACAGAAUGGAAAACUCUCAACUGAAGCUGUCUCUUCUGCGCACUCACACACAAAUGUGUCGAGAGCCUUUUCUCCCCCUGUUAGAGCUUCAUAAUCAAUGUAUAUUGCGUACACCUCUUUCGCCCUAAUUCAGAGGGACAACUUUCAGGGGAUGGAGAGAAUUUGUUUGGUUUGGUGAUGCAUAAAACUAAAUCCUUUCCCACAGAGUACCUUGACUGGAGGGCAAACUUUUACCGCGGCCUUGCAGAUUUAUUCAAACAAUGAAAGUUCAGGGCAUAGAGGGAAGAAAUCUGAAAGUUCUGAGAACAAAAAUCCUGAGGUUCCAUCACCCUUCCAAAUUAGGGGUACAGAGGAGGAAAAAACGACACCAUCUCUCUGCUUCCCAUCUCCCUCCUCCAAAGCCAGCCUGCUGGAAUAGAUGCCUAACUUUCAUAGAGGCCUAGGGCUAACCAUCGUCCCAAGUGAAGAAAGGAGCUCUGUGAGUGUAUGCUAAUCUCUGGGAGCAGAAAUGUGAAGGAAUAGAUGCACAUGGAAGGGAACUUUGAAGUGGGGAAUGGGCAGAAUUGGAGACCCAUAACCGAGGGGUGAGGGGUAGGGAUGGAAAGUGGCUGACGCCUCCCCUGGGCCAAAAGAUACAAACUGCUGAGCUCUCCAGUGCCCCCCAUCACUUCCCUGAGGAGACAGAGAGAAAAAAAAUGGAAAUUUACUAGCAAGACCCCCAGACUCCAUUACCGGGACUCUUAUAUGAUGUAUAGAGGUGGCUAUCUUAGGUCUAUGAUAAUAAACAAAGCCUUGGCGCUCUUGCCCACA